GUAGGUGGCAAGCGUUGUCCGGAAUUAUUGGGCGUAAAGCGCGCGCAGGCGGUUCUUUAAGUCUGAUGUGAAAGCCCACGGCUCAACCGCGGAGGGUCAUUGGAAACUGGAGAACUUGAGUACAGAAGAGGAAAGCGGAAUUCCACGUGUAGCGGUGAAAUGCGUAGAGAUGUGGAGGAACACCAGUGGCGAAGGCGGCUUUCUGGUCUGUAACUGACGCUGAGGCGCGAAAGCGUGGGGAGCAAACAGGAUUAGAUACCCUGGUAGUCCACGCCGUAAACGAUGAGUGCUAAGUGUUAGGGGGUUUUCCGCCCCCCUUAGUGCUGCAGCUAACGCAUUAAGCACUCCGCCUGGGAGUACGGCCGCAAGGCUG
rnacentral:rRNA from 1 species